AUAUCUUAAAAAAAUCUCAAAAAAAAAAUGCUAAUAAAAAAACGGCAUUUGAUCUUUUGAUUGCGAUUUGACUACUAAUAUUUUACUAAUAUUAGUCC
rnacentral:sRNA from 16 species